UACGGAGGGUGCAAGCGUUAUCCGGAAUCAUUGGGCGUAAAGCGUCCGUAGGUGGUUAGUUAAGUCAGACGUCAAAGACUGGAGCUCAACUUCAGGAAGAUGUUUGAAACUGGUUAACUUGAGGCUUCCAGAGGCAUAUGGAAUUCUGUGUGUAGGGGUAAAAUCCGUUGAUACACAGAGGAACAUCAAAAGCGAAGGCAGUAUGCUGGGGGAGUCCUGACACUUAGGGACGAAAGCGUGGGGAGCAAACGGG
rnacentral:rRNA from 1 species